GUGCCUCCUCAGGUGCUGACCUGUGAGGGAGGAAGGAGCUCGGGCUGCAGACCCUCCUGGGCCUCCGUGUCUCAGGCUGCGUAAGGACAUCAUCAUGAUCAUGACAGGGGAACAAACAAUGGCAGACUGUAUGCCAGUCGUAUCCUACCUGCCUCUCCCCGGAACGCAGAAAGUGCAAGGGAUGAAGCCCUCAGAGGCCCAGAGACCUCGCCAUCUCCUACUAUGCAGGCUGUGCUACACUGUGACCCCCCCACCUGUUACCUCUGCUGGGAGUACCAGGCUUUCAGGCUCCCGACUCAUCCUCCAAGGCACAACUUUCCUGACCGCUGCAAACAGACUCAAUCCCCCCUCAUCUGCCCCCACCCCUGGCCCGCCUCUAUUGCAUCACGUGGAGUUGCCUGUUUUCCUCCACACUGGAAACUUCCUGAGGGCAGGGCUUGGGCUCUGUUCUCCUCUGUAGCCACUAGGCUCAAGGACUCAACAAAUGUUUGCUGAACAAAUUAAUUUGUUUUCACUUAACGAGCUCAUUAGGGCUCUAGCUUCCUCCUAAUUACGAAGCAGGAAGUUUCCUUUUUUUCCAUAACGAUCCAUCUUUGGGGAAUGAUGGCAGAACUUCAACUUCGGCAAGAAGAAGGCAAUCAAACUAGACCCCUGGCACACGUUUGCAUUUGAAAGAAAGAAAACAUGCAGGCUCAGUGAGUAAUCGCUGGUGGAAGGUAAAAGACGUGGCAGCUUGCCGGAUGAUCAUCUGAUCCCGCCAGGACCCUUCACGGGCAUCGAUGGGCCGCUCUAAUCGCCAGCCUGCCCUCUCUGCCCGUUUCUGCAGGCACUGUCCUUGGGGUCUGUGAGAGCACAUGGGAAGCCUGGCUGUCUGUCCCUGCUGGGCCCUUGAUCAAGUGACAUCAACUGCUGCCCUGAGCGUGUAUUGGAGAGCUGAUCAGAGCUCGGUGUUCUGAAUCUUAAAAAGGCAAUCUCCGGGGCCUGUGACUGCAGAAGCAGAGCAUCCACCAAGGGCUCCACCUGUUGUUCCCAGGGCCCUGCUGGAAGUUACGUCAAGAUGGCCCUCUGCCUGCCCACCAGAGCUGCUCUGGGAGGGGAGGCACAGCUCAGCUGGGAUUGGCCCAGCCUUCAGAAGAGGGGCCUUUUCACCUCUUUCUUUAGAAGCGCUGCUCUGUGAGCCUGUAUCCUGACAGGCAGGUGGGCCCUCUCUCCCCACAAAGCCUCCUUUCUUUCUGGGCCGCCAUCUUGUUCUGGAGGGGCUGCCCAAAAGGCCUUGACUCCUUGGUGCUCAAGGACAUUACUGCUGAAGUGGUUGGGGCAUUAUGGUCAAUAAUGAAGCCAGCAAUGGAGGGAAAGAAAAGGGAAAAAAACCCCAACAGUCCUGUGGCUCUGAGCAACGCAGCCUGUUAGGGGUUGGAGGCUGUGCUCUGAGACAAAAUGCUGAGGCGGGAUAUUGUGUGGCAGGGAGCUUUUUUUUCCCUCUAAGAAAUCCAGCUCAUUUUCCCCCUCAUUAAUUGGCAGCAGAUGAAAAAAAAAAAAAAAAGCCAAAACAAAACCCAAACCAACGCCAAUAACCUGAAUGUGAGUGUUUCUGAAAGGGAAAAGCUGUUUCAAUUGUUAGAUGUCCAAGAAAACAUGAAUACACGCCGCCAGAGGAAAUGGUCACAAUU
ensembl:lncRNA